GAUGAAGAACGUAGCAAAAUGCGAUAAGUAAUGUGAAUUGCAGAAUUCAGUGAAUCAUCGAAUCUUUGAACGCACAUUGCGCCCGCUGGUAUUCCGGCGGGCAUGCCUGUCCGAGCGUCAUUUCAACCAUCAAGCCCCGGGCUUGUGUUGGGGACCUGCGUCCGACGCAGGCCCUGAAAACCAGUGGCGGGCUCGCUGUCCACACCGAGCGUAGUAACUAACCUCGCUAUGGAGUGGCGCGGGCGCCUGCCGUAAAACCCCCAAUUUCACAAGGUUGACCUCGGAUCAGGUAGGAAUACCCGCUGAACUUAAGCAUAUCAAUAAGCGGAGGA
rnacentral:misc_RNA from 1 species